GCACUGCUGAAGAGUCCCAAACUAGGACGAAACAGCUGUCCAGUAA
rnacentral:hammerhead_ribozyme from 1 species